AACGAACGCUGGCGGCGUGCCUAACACAUGCAAGUCGAACGGAAGUAAGAAGCUUGCUUUUUACUUUAGUGGCGCACGGGUGAUUAACGCGUGGAUAAUCUGCCUGCUGCUCUGGGAUAACAUCCCGAAAGGGGUGUUAAUACCGGAUAAGCCCACGAGAACUUCGGUUUUUGCGGGAAAAGGAGGGGACCUUCGGUCCUUCCGACAUCAGUUGAGUCCGCGUCCCCUUAGCUAGUUGGUGGUGUAAAGGACCACCAAGGCGACGAUGGGUAGCUGGUCUGAGAGGAUGAUCAGCCACACUGGAACUGAGACACGGUCCAGACUCCUACGGGAGGCAGCAGUGGGUAAUUUUGCGCAAUGGGGGCAACCCUGACGCAGCAACGCCGCGUGAGUGAUGAAGGCUUUCGGGUCGUAAAGCUCUGUCAGAAGGGAAGAAACGUAGGUGGCUAAUAUCCAUUCUACUUGACGGUACCUUCAAAGGAAGCACCGGCUAACUCCGUGCCAGCAGCCGCCGUAAUAC
rnacentral:rRNA from 1 species